GACCAGACUCCUACGGGAGGCAGCAGUGGGGAAUAUUGCACAAUGGGGGAAACCCUGAUGCAGCGACGCCGCGUGAGUGAAGAAGUAUUUCGGUAUGUAAAGCUCUAUCAGCAGGGAAGAAAAUGACGGUACCUGACUAAGAAGCCCCGGCUAACUACGUGCCAGCAGCCGCGGUAAUACGUAGGGGGCAAGCGUUAUCCGGAUUUACUGGGUGUAAAGGGAGCGUAGACGGCAUGGCAAGUCAGAUGUGAAAGCCCGGGGCUCAACCCCGGGACUGCAUUUGAAACUGUCAGGCUGGAGUGCAGGAGAGGUAAGUGGAAUUCCUAGUGUAGCGCUGAAAUGCGUAGAUAUUAGGAGGAACACCAGUGGCGAAGGCGGCUUACUGGACUGUAACUGACGUUGAGGCUCGAAAGCGUGGGGAGCAAACAGGAUUAGAUACCCCCGUACCG
rnacentral:rRNA from 1 species